CAUCUUCAGAAACUCAACUGCCCAGGCUUGUUUGGGGUAGUAGCCACUCCCUGCUUCAUUGCCUCCUCUUUUCCAAACCUCUCAUGCAGUUUCCUUUCUGUUCUCUGGAUGGAGGGCCAGUUAGAACGCUUGGAAGGGGAAGUUAGCUCAGAGAGUAUGGCACUCCUUGGAGGCAUAACAGAUAAAUGCCUGACACUUUAUCUACACAGGAAAGCACAUCUCACAGAUGGUUAAUUUCACUGAUUGAAAGGAAGAGCCAGUAAAACCCUCAUGUGGCCAUUCAUGGUUCGCUGAAGACGGUGGUAGGUAGUAUGGAUUAGCAAGAGGUGCUGAGUCUUAUCUGGAUUUAUCAGUCAUAGAAGAGGAUGCCAAGUCCUUUGAGUUUUAAGCUAUUGCUAGUAGUAAUCUGUGUUCAAGACCUAUGGUGUUGCGCCCAAGAUUGCGAAUCCGAGAAAUUACCAAGGAGCUGACACCGAUGCAAGCACACGAGAGGGUUUAUUUGCAAGCUCGAGCUUGGGUCCAAGUAUACCCGACACAGCGGAGCAGGGACUUGG